rnacentral:rRNA from 1 species
UGGGGAAUUUUGGACAAUGGGGGAAACCCUGAUCCAGCCAUCCCGCGUGUGCGAUGAAGGCCUUCGGGUUGUAAAGCACUUUUGGCAGGGAAGAACCGGCACCGGUAUAAUACCGGGUGUCACUGACGGUACUGCAGAAUAAGCACCGGGCUAACUACG